GUCUCUUAUUGUGAGGUAUCACCUGGAGUUCUUUGUCUCAUGACCAAGAAAAUUAAGGAGCGUGGAUGCAAAUGGUGAAGUUGCAGCGAAAGUUUAAUAAGCAAAAGAAGAAAGCUCUCCACAGUGGAGAGGGGACCCGGAGGAGGGUUGCUGUUUUUACAGGGGGUGACCUUUAUCUUCAUGGCCCAGUGUGGCUGCAAGAGCUCUAGCAUCCAAGUUCCCAGCAGAAGGAUGGAGGACUGGCUGGAAAAACAAGGACACACAGGGUAUGCAUCAGAGUCCCCUCUUGUUGCCCAGGCUGGAGUGCAGCAGCAUGAUUACAGCUCACAUCAGCCUCGACCUCCCGGGCUCAAGCUAUCCUCCUACCUCAGCCUCCCAAGUAGCUGGGACUAUAGGAUCUUUCUGCUGAUGCAGCUGUUAAGAGUGUUUCAUAAACUGUGACACUGAGCAAAAUCAUAGAAGGAAACUCUAUGGACAAUUUCAGAUGGAGAAGAAGAAAGGAUUGGAAGUUCAAUUUGGCCAUGACAAUUAGACUUGAAGAAGCUGAGUGAGAAGGCCAUGCGGAUAUCUUGGAGAAGUGCAUUCCAGGAAGAGGAAAAGCCAGUGCAGAGACACUGAAGCAGGGCAUGACUGAUGUGUGUAAGGAGCUCAUAUAUAUGAUCAUCUACAGUCCACUGAGGAGAAUAGCAGACGAG
rnacentral:antisense_RNA from 1 species